AUUGCAAAAAAAAUAAAAAAUAAAUUUCUCAAAAUCAGAAGAAGCUCCUCGACUCUUCUCCCUCUUCCUCUUCACCUUCGUUUUCUCUCUUCUCUAUCGUCGCCGUCGCUUCUUCACCGCCGAAGAUCAUCGCCGAACCUCUCCGUACCGUCGUCGCUGCUUAGUUGUUCAUUGAUGUUGUGGUUGAUGAUGGUCUUCCUUCGAGGCUCUCCACCUCCUCAUUUCCUUCUCUACAUGUGUUGAUCUCGACGCCGACACCCUGAUUUCCGCCGUUAAUUCCACCUCUCUUCCUCUUCCGCUAGCUGCUUCUCUCACAGGCAGGGAUGAAGAAUGGACCAGAAGCUCGAGUCGCCCUAAUUUGAAGAAAUCGUUCAACUAUUCUACUGAAUUCAAAUUGCCCAUGUUAGUGGGAAUUUAUUUGGGCAGGUUAAUGGAAAGGACCGGUUGAUUGUCACCCCUACUGUUAAUGAGAGGUUGAAGGUAUUGCCGAGACCUGGAAGCGGAGCUUGGAGGAGCGUGGUGAUAUUGAGAAUGUUAAGACCCUUGCUGUGCAUUUCUGCAUCACUUGGUUACCUUUGGUAUUGUAAAGAAGGAUGAUGUUGGUCUGUAUCGAAAGCUUGUGGCCGGGUCUUCUUGGAGGAAGCAGAAGACUAAGCUUGUUGUUUCUCUUGGCUUAGGUGAUAACAUGCCCGUCUCUCUGUCCGGAACCUCACUGGCUAAUUUGACGCAUUCACUGAUCAGUUAUUGAGGCAUUUAACUUGGCAUUUGCACCUGAACGUGUGAUUUGCGACUUCUAACUCACAACCAGGUAUUUCUUACUCGUCGUCUUCACUGAUCAGUUAUUGAGGCAUUUAACUUGGCAUUUGCACCUGAACGUGUGAUUUGCGACUUCUAACUCACAACCAGGUAUUUCUUACUCGUCGUCUUCACUGAUCAGUUAUUGAGGCAUUUAACUUGGCAUUUGCACCUGAACGUGUGAUUUGCGACUUCUAACUCACAACCAGGAGGACAAGGGAACUUCUGAUCUCAAGACCACCAAUAUCAGACUCAAGGACACAAUGACACAGGUUGUAAAAUUAAAACAUAUUGUUCAACUGUAAUCUUUCUAACCUUAUUGGCUUGUAUUUUUCCCUGCUAGUAACCCAGCAAGUAUUUAUAUUUCUGACUUAGGUCAAGUCAAAACUUGUGCAACAAUAUCGUUCUCUUGUGUGCACAACAAACGGGCAAUACGGAGUGCGGCUACUACGUGAUGAAGUUCAUGUACGAUAUAGUCACAAGAUCUCGAAAAGGUAUUCAAUAAUCCGAGGGAGCGGCCUUUCACCUUUGAGGAGAUAGAUGAAGUUCGACAAAUGUUGAAAAUUUUCAUUAGCAGUGAUUGUCUUUGAUAUUUUCUUGUACUGAAUCUUAAAUUACGGAUGCUAGAUAGUUUUUCAUAUGAUUGUAAUGUAAUGGACUUUUAUAUUUACAAUUAUAUACUAUUUAAUUUAAUUAUCUAUAUAAUUGGAUACUUUUUAUAUGA